rnacentral:rRNA from 1 species
GACAGAGGGUGCAAACGUUGUUCGGAAUUACUGGGCGUAAAGCGUGUGUAGGCGGCUAUGUAAGUCGGAUGUGAAAGCCCCGGGCUCAACCCGGGAAGUGCACUCGAUACUGCGUAGCUUGAGUACUGGAGAGGUUGGUGGAAUUCUCGGUGUAGAGGUGAAAUUCGUAGAUAUCGAGAGGAACACCGGUGGCGAAGGCGGCCAACUGGACAGAUACUGACGCUGAGACACGAAAGCGUGGGGAGCAAACAGG